GAUGAAGAACGUAGCAAAAUGCGAUAAGUAAUGUGAAUUGCAGAAUUCAGUGAAUCAUCGAAUCUUUGAACGCACAUUGCGCCCGCCAGUAUUCUGGCGGGCAUGCCUGUUCGAGCGUCAUUUCAACCCUCAAGCACAGCUUGGUGUUGGGACUCGCGUUAAUUCGCGUUCCCCAAAUUGAUUGGCGGUCACGUCGAGCUUCCAUAGCGUAGUAGUAAAACCCUCGUUACUGGUAAUCGUCGCGGCAACGCCGUUAAACCCCAACUUCUGAAUGUUGACCUCGGAUCAGGUAGGAAUACCCGCUGAACUUAAGCAUAUCAAUAAGCGGAGGA
rnacentral:misc_RNA from 1 species